CCCUUAGGUGUCCUGGGCCGCACGCGCGCUACACUGAGUGUCUGAGAUACGAGUCUGCCUGGUCCGGCAAGGUCUAGGUAAUCGCUAAAAGACACAUCAUGCUUGGGAUAGAUUAUUGCAAAUAUUAAUCUUGAACGAGGAAUUCCUAGUAAGCGCAAGUCAACAGCUUGCGUUGAUUACGUCCCUGCCCUUUGUACACACCGCCCGUCGCUACUACUGAUUGGAUGUUUAAGCGAGGUUCUCGAACUGCUAGCGACUUAGCUUCGGUGAGGUCGCAGUGUGGGAAGUGAACCUAGCUUUGGUGUCUAGAGGAAGUAAAAGUCGUAACA
rnacentral:rRNA from 1 species